GCUUCUGAGGCCUCAGUAAAAUAACUGUUUCCCCCAAUUUACCUUCAUAAUCUGACCUCUGCUUCCUUUACAGCUAUAUCUUUUGGCAUGUGUCCUCUCCCCUGGCCCUGGAGUGCUGGGUUCAGAGAGUUACAUAGUAUGGAUUGAGGAGCCAGGACUGCUGGCUCUGCCACAACUCAUCAGUGGCCUCCUGUGUACAUUUGGUGUGUGAGCAGCUGUCCAAAUUGGUGUGUCUGUGAGGAGACAAUUGAUAGAGGAUCUGUCAAUCUACCAAUUUGCUCCAUCUUUCUCUAUUUUUAAUUUUUUGAGUAACUGCCAUACUGAUUUCCACAGUGGCUGUACUAUCGUACAUUCCCACCAACUGGGAAUAAAAGUUCCAAUUUCUCACAGCUUCACACAACUUACUAUUUUCUGCAUUUUCAUAGUAGUCAUCCUAAUGUGUGUGAGGUAAAACCUCAUGGUAGUUCUGAUGUACCUUUCUCUAACGAUUAGUGAUAUUGAACUUUUUUUUAGAUGUUUACUGGCAUUUGAAUAUACUUUUUGGAAAAUGUCUAUUCAGGUCCUUUGCCCAUUUUUAAAAGAGGUUGUUUGAUUUCUAUGAUGAUGAAAUACUGAAUCUGCCCUCACGUAUGAUUUGGAGAGCAGCUUCCUCAUGCUGAGAACAGAAGCUGAGUGGCUGUGUGUCCCUGUCCCCCAUGGCCUGACAGAUACCAAGGAAGCUGAGAAGGGAAACUGCCCCCUCACAAGUUAGCACAAGCUAACUAAAUCUACCUAUAUUCAUUUCCUGACUUUUCUCUCUCUGCAGACUCUUUUAAAGCUUUUCUUGUCUUCAGGGAUUUCGAAGAUAAAACUUUUAAAAUUGUAAGUUUCUUCCAUUUUCCUUCAAAUCUGGCUGUGAAUAAAACAUUUUUUUCCACUAA